rnacentral:rRNA from 1 species
AAUAGAUACCCAGGUAGUCCACGCCGUAAACGAUGGAUACUAGCUGUUGGGGGCAACUUCAGUGGCUAAGCGAAAGUGAUAAGUAUCCCACCUGGGGAGUACGAACGCAAGUUUGAAACUCAAAGGAAUUGACGGGGGCCCGCACAAGCGGUGGAGCAUGUGGUUUAAUUCGAUGAUACGCGAGGAACCUUACCAAGGCUUAAAUGCAGACUGACCGAUUUGGAAACAGAUCUUUCGCAAGACAGUUUACAAGGUGCUGCAUGGUUGUCGUCAGCUCGUGCCGUGAGGUGUCAGGUUAAGUCCUAUAACGAGCGCAACCCCUGUCGUUAGUUGCCAGCGAGUCAUGUCGGGAACUCUAACAAGACUGCCAGUGCAAACUGUGAGGAAGGUGAGGAUGACGUCAAAUCAUCACGGCCCUUACGCCUUGGGCUACACACGUGCUACAAUGGCCGGUACAGAGAGCAGCCACCUCGCGAGGGGGAGCGAAUCUAUAAAGCCGGUCACAGUUCGGAUCGGAGU